CCGAAGAGUGGGCAGCGAGAACAUUAUACCAGACCGAGCUGCUCCGCAAGAUCAGAGACCGGGUGAGCUCUUUUUAAACACGAUUCCGUGAGUCCUCCAAGUUUUCAUUCGUACUAGUACCACUCAAACUGACUUUAGAGUAUGUUUUAAAAAAGAUUCACCUUAUGACUGGUUUCCUUUGGAGGCUAAAGAAGAGAGUAAGGUUUGUGAGCUAGUUCAGGCAAGCAAGUCAAGUUUGAAACCUGACAUUUACAAAAACACAGAUGUGUUUAGGGUGGGAGUCUUUAUAAGUGAAGGCAAUUUUAUACUAGUGUGUUGAUGAAGGUCAGAGCUGGAGCAGUUUAUAAUUUCAUGAUGAGAGUUUUAAAGAGAUCAAAUUGUCUGUACUGUGCUGACAUCCUUUGUCACACAUGAAGAUCAACAUCUGAAGGUAACACUGUAUUGUAGAAAAAAGUCACUGUUAAAGGCACCAGCAGUUCCAUUCUUUGGAUUUACCCCACACCCUUAUAUAUACAAAUAUUAUUUUUUCCAACAAGUAAAAGUGCUUAAACAAUCAAAGUGGAUCCACUGAGAGUUUGUGUUUUUGGCUCUGAUUGUUGAUUUUUUGCUGUCAUCCUCUCACUGUGUCUCCGUUUUAGGUUCUCCGUCGCCCACUGCUCUCCGCCCGCCUCCAGCUGUGAAACCCCUCCCUCUACUCCCCCAUACGGUGGGAGUCUGGUAAACAUGACCAGGACUUCCUCAUUGGAGCCGCACGCCACAGCUUUAGCUGGACAGACUGCUAC